CAAAGACAGGCUUGUCCCCAAGUGAAAAGCCCUUCUCUACACAACACUCGUUUGGUGAGAUGGGAUGAGACAUCAGAGGCUCACACCUUCAAGCUUCGCCUGCCAGGUAUGUAUAGAAAUCUUUCUCAGUGACCCUCUGACAUUUCGACUACAUCACGCUCAAGAACUUGAUUUUCCCAACUGUUGUAUCCCCUCGACACAAAUUGUCCGUGGUAUGCAAUCCUCACUACUCUCUUAGUGUGCGGUGUGUAUAACACCCUAUUACCUCAUGUGCAGGCUUAAAGAAGGAGGAGUUGAACAUCCAGAUAGAAGAUCGAACACUAUACCUCAGUUACAACAGCGAGUCCAAAAUGGACGCCAAGGAGGGUGAAGCUCCGUCCGACUCCCAGUGCAAAGAGAAGAAACCUACAAGCUGCAGCUUCAUGC
rnacentral:lncRNA from 1 species